CGGCACGGGUGCGUAACGCGUGGGAAUCUGCCCUUGGGUCUGGAAUAACAGUUAGAAAUGACUGCUAAUACCGGAUGAUGACUUCGGUCCAAAGAUUUAUCGCCCAGGGAUGAGCCCGCGUCGGAUUAGCUAGUUGGUGAGGUAAAAGCUCACCAAGGCGACGAUCCGUAGCUGGUCUGAGAGGAUGAUCAGCCACACUGGGACUGAGACACGGCCCAG
rnacentral:rRNA from 1 species